rnacentral:lncRNA from 1 species
GUCAGAGUCCUUGUUGUUGCUUGCAACCAAAGAAUCCUAUUUAUACACACACCAAGUGAGAAAAGUUGGGUGGAUUAGAUGACAGGACCCUCCUCUCUGCUGCCCUCUCUCUUUGUGGUCCCAGGGCAAUUGACUCAGCUCUCUAGCAGCACUCAGCUCCUGUAGGAGACAUGGUGGGGUAGAGUCUGCUCAACAAGACCACGAACAUCAACUAAGCAUAUUUGUAUCCUGGAUAGGAACGGUUGAGGGUCUUGAACACUGUUAAGUGCUCAGUUGCACUGAAUUAAGAUCUUACAGCUUGAAGCAGGUAACUGCAGUGGGAAAGAAAUUUAACAAGUAUCAGAGCAGCUUCGCAAUUAUCAAGAUGUAAGCAACUGCUGGAGAAAGCCAUUCCCACCGCAUGCAAGUGAUGUGUGUGGGGUGGGGAGUGGUCAGGACCCAUUUCAGGGUGUUGGGGGAAGGCCCACUCUGUCCCCAAAGUGCCUCUCCCACCUCUUCAUGAGUACCUCUCAUUCCUGAAACAAGAGACAAAGGCACUCAGUGAACAUUUAGACACAGAGCUGGAAAUCCAUCUUCCCCUAGAAGGGCAAAACAAUGUUUUCAUUCACUCUGAAGUGUAAUGAUGGGUGUAGACUCUUUCCUGAGAGCAGACCUGGAUAGGAGAAAUGGUUUGGAAAUACUAAGGUUUUCAGGGUGUGGAAAGUGAAAAUGGGUCUGCA